UACGUAGGGGGCAAGCGUUGUCCGGAUUUAUUGGGCGUAAAGAGCGUGUAGGCGGCCUGAAAGGUCAGCUGUGAAAACUCGAGGCUCAACCUCGAGACGUCGGUUGAAACCAUCUGGCUAGAGUCCGGAAGAGGAGUGUGGAAUUCCCCGGUGUAGCGGUGAAAUGCGCAGAUAUCGGGAAGAACACCCGUGGCGAAGGCGGCACUCUGGGACGGUACUGACGCUGAGACGCGAAAGCGUGGGGAGCGAACAGG
rnacentral:rRNA from 1 species